rfam:Oryza sativa (indica cultivar-group) chromosome 11, whole genome shotgun sequence.
CCUCUCGACGAUGAGGAGAUGAUGUCUUACAUCCUCGCCGGGCUGGACAAUGAUUACGAGCCCGUCGUCUCUUCCCUUGUCGGCAAGGCGGAGGCAAUUCCAGUUGUUGAGAUCUAUACUCAGCUUCCCAGUUUUGAGA